AUUGAACGCUGGCGGCAGGCCUAACACAUGCAAGUCGAGCGGAUGAAGGGAGCUUGCUCCUGGAUUCAGCGGCGGACGGGUGAGUAAUGCCUAGGAAUCUGCCUGGUAGUGGGGGAUAACGUCCGGAAACGGGCGCUAAUACCGCAUACGUCCUGAGGGAGAAAGUGGGGGAUCUUCGGACCUCACGCUAUCAGAUGAGCCUAGGUCGGAUUAGCUAGUUGGUGGGGUAAAGGCCUACCAAGGCGACGAUCCGUAACUGGUCUGAGAGGAUGAUCAGUCAACCUGAAACUGAGAACCGGUCCGGCCCCCUAGGGAGGGCAGCGUUGGGGAUUAUGGGCAAAUGGGGGAAGCCCGAACCAGCCAUGCCGCGUGUGUGAAGAAGGUCUUCGGAUUGUAAAGCACUUUAAGUUGGGAGGAAGGGCAGUAAGUUAAUACCUUGCUGUUUUGACGUUACCAACAGAAUAAGCACCGGCUAACUUCGUG
rnacentral:rRNA from 1 species